GAUUAGGAUGCGCAAUUUUUUUUUUUUUUCAAACCAUUAUCAAUGUACACUUAGGGACAAUGAAUCUUGAGACGGCUAAUUUUUUACACUAGACAGUUAUGUUGGCAACACAAAGAAACCUACUGCGCCAUAUUCGGCCAAGCGCAAAACUAACUCAAUUUCAAUAAACAUAAC